rnacentral:rRNA from 1 species
GCUCAGUAACACGUGGAUAACCUGCCCUUGGGACCGGCAUAACCCCGGGAAACUGGGGAUAAUUCCGGAUAACGCAUAUUUGCUGGAAUGCUUUAUGCGUCAAAAGGAUUCGUCUGCCCAAGGAUGGGUCUGCGGCCUAUCAGGUAGUAGUGGGUGUAAUGUACCUACUAGCCAGCGACGGGUACGGGUUGUGAGAGCAAGAGCCCGGAGAUGGAUUCUGAGACAUGAAUCCAGGCCCUACGGGGCGCAGCAGGCGCGAAAACUUUACAAUGCGGGAAACCGUGAUAAGGGGACACCGAGUGCCAGCAUCAUAUGCUGGCUGUCCGGAUGUGUAAAAUACAUCCGUUAGCAAGGGCCGGGCAAGACCGGUGCCAGCCGCCGCGGUAA